rnacentral:RNase_P_RNA from 1 species
AGGCCAAGCUGGAUAGUCGCCCUGCCUAUAAGGGCGGGGAGGAAAGUCCGAACACCCAGGUUUUGAUGGCAAGCAAUUGCCGCUGUCAAAGCUUAAACGUAGCGGGUAAUGCCCGUCGUCCGCAAGGAUAGAGAUGCGAACAGAGACGUUUGCCCUUGAAAGAGGGCAAACGCCCUUCGAAGCUCCGCGAGGAGCGUAGUAGGGCGAGCUGCGCAGUAAUGCGUUGUGUGAAACGGCAAAACUCUUACGCGGGUGCAAGCCAAGAUACUGGCGCUCGAGCUGUCUGGUAACAGACGGCCUAGACAGAUGACUAUUUACCCUGACGCGUUGUCGGGGGGACAGAAUUCGGCUUAUAAGCUUGGCUAAGGG